AUUGAACGCUGGCGGAAUGCUUUACACAUGCAAGUCGAGCGGCAGCGCGGCCUUCGGGCUGGCGGCGAGCGGCGAACGGGUGAGUAAUGCAUCGGAACAUGCCCAGUCGUGGGGGAUAACACUUCGAAAGAAGUGCUAAUACCGCAUACGUCCUGAGGGGGAAAGCGGGGGAUCGCAAGACCUCGCGCAAUUGGAGUGGCCGAUGUCAGAUUAGCUAGUUGGUGGGGUAAAGGCCUACCAAGGCGACGAUCUGUAGCUGGUCUGAGAGGAUGAUCAGCCACACUGGGACUGAGACACGGCCCAGACUCCUACGGGAGGCAGCAGUGGGGAAUUUUGGACAAUGGGGGCAACCCUGAUCCAGCCAUUCCGCGUGAGUGAAGAAGGCCUUCGGGUUGUAAAGCUCUUUCGGCAGGAACGAAACGGUGGGCUCUAACAUAGUCCGCUAAUGACGGUACCUGAAGAAGAAGCACCGGCUAACUACGUG
rnacentral:rRNA from 1 species